ensembl:lncRNA
CCCAUACCCAGCCCACUUGGCCAGACACUUCACUUACAAAUAUGUUCUCCUGCUGUGUCCCCUCUUAACGGGGCUCUUGUUUCCGGAAAGCCUGGAGUGAGAGCCUUUUCGGAAGCUGCAGACAUUUGUUCAACCCUCGCUCGAUCCAGACACCUCUGGCCAUUUGCCAGGAGGUCCCCGAAGAGCUCCACCCAUGAGACGGGACAGGAGCUGAUCAGUGGGGUCCUCUACUGCAUCUUCCUGCAGGGUGGGCAGGUGCCCCACAUCAGCCACAGAGUCCGGUGCUGGCUCAUGGGUGAAAAUGUGUCCACAGUGAAAUGGAAGAGACCCGCAUGGUGUGGACCGUCCAGGGAGGCAGGCCAGAAAAGCAAGUGGAGCACCUGGUGUUCGCCUUCCUGGGCAGUGACCCCUCAUACGUGCCCACCCUCCUGGGCACCUGCAGAGCUUCUGCCAACACCCAACAGCACUCGACCUGCUGUUCAAAGGCGAGCACUAAGUCCGUCCACGAGACAGUGGUGUUUUGGUGACUUACUAGCUGUGAGACUUCAGAAUGUCACUGCCCCUCUCUGAGCCUCAGUUUGCUCCUGUGAACCUUGGAGUGAAUAGAGCACCAACCUCAUAGGGUUAUUUUCAAAACUAAGUGGGUCCACCAUGGAAAGUGCUGUCCGGGUGCCUGGCCCUGGGGCAAGAACUGCUGCAGGGCCAUGUUUGUGCUAAUUUAUCAUUUCCCUCAUGCCAUGACGAAGCCUCUGCCUCAUUCAUCACUGUUCUUGUAGCCUUGGGCUAAAGUGUUUUCCCAUUGGAAAAUGAGAUUUGAGAUUCCAUUAGUGGUUCCUUUUCAUGGGUAAAGUCUGAGGAGGGAUCCUUGGGGGUGAGCAGGGAGGCCACAGGCCCACUCAUAUAUCCAUGAUGGGGCUGGUUGGGGCUCAUUCAUUUAUCAAACAUAUAGGAAGCCCCACUAGUUGCAGGCACUUAUCUCUGUAUGACCAUAAUCCAGCGCACAGAGCAGACAAGUCCUGCCUCUCAGGGCUUCCAUUCUAGUCGGGAGUCAGAAUGUCACACUAGACAUCACAAGAAGGUAGUGUCCACACUACAGCCGAUGUAACGCCCUCCUGGCCUCCUCUAGAUGGAUGCAUCCUCCCUCAUUCUGAUGAGGAUGGCAGUCACUAGUAUCAAUUAAAAAUGUGAAUGGGCUUUGAUUCAAGAAGGAGCAACUCCCUUUUCCAAAGAACUGUGUGGAGAUGUGGGGUUCUGUGGAUGAGGAGGGGAUGGCAGAGCCCUGGAUCCAACAUCUUAUGAUUCUUGCUUGAGGGCAGAAGUCUGAGCGCUUCUCCUGGCAAAAAGGAAAGGAGUCAGAGAGAGCUACAGAUGGGGCUGUGGAUGCUGUGGGGAUUAGAGGGGAGGUCAGAGGACAGAGUCAGCCCUGGAAAUAGCCCUUACCCAUUCCAGCCCUGCCUCCACCCCCAUCCUGGGACCCAGAACAGGAGGUGUGGAGAGCAUCCUGCUCAUGAAUCUGGUGGAACCUCAACAGCGGGGGCUCGGCUGGUGCUCAGGGGACUCAGUGAGGGCUCUGGGG